rnacentral:lncRNA from 1 species
AUUCGCCAACUUCUCCCAGCUACAGCCCGACCUCUCCCAGUUAUAGCCCUACAUCUCCUACUUAUAGUCCUACUUCCCCCAGUUACAGCCCAACUUCCCCCAGUUACAGUCCUACUUCGCCAAGCUACAGCCCUACUUCUCCAGUUUACAGUCCGACUUCCCCAGCCUACAGUCCAACAUCUCCUGCCUACAGCCCAACCUCACCAUCCUAUAGUCCAACAUCACCUUCCUAUAGUCCGACAUCACCUUCAUAUAGCCCAACAUCACCUUCAUAUAGCCCGACUUCACCAUCAUACAGUCCUACCUCACCUGCCUAUAGCCCAACUUCUCCGGGAUACAGUCCAACAUCUCCUAGCUAUAGUCCUACAUCCCCAAGUUAUAGCCCCACAUCUCCAAGUUACAAUCCUGCCUCAGCAAAGUACAGUCCUUCGCUUGCUUAUUCUCCAAGCAGUCCAAGG